UUCAGUUCCUACUCAUAUUUCAAGGCUCAUGUUAGGAGCCAGCUCCUCAGGAAGCCCCUCUGAUUGCUCCAGAGUAGUGACUGCAACACCCAAAGAGCAUUUAUCUCAUUCUGCCUUAAAUCGUAUUCAUUUUGUGAAUGUCUAACUAUGUCUAACAACUAUACUACAGGUUCCUCGAAGGUCUCAUCAAUUUUUAAUCACUUCCCCACUUUUUUCAUACAGAAGUGGUCAAUAAAUAUCUGUUGAUAGAAUAUCAAAGAGAUGAGCGUUAUAUUUUCCUGUAUAUUUAUUACCUAAUUAAAUAUAGUACAUACAAGGCUCUAUCUAACAGUAGGUACUGGAUGAGCACUAGUGACUGUGUGGUUUGAUUGUACCAUUCUAAACAUAUCAACUCUGGUCUUUAUCCUUUUUACCUUGUAGGUGGUCGCUGACCUGGCAGGUUAUCAUCCACUUCCCAGGAUUCUCGGCUAUCAUUUCUGUUGUAAGGAAGGUGGCUGGGAACAGGUUGACGACAUCAGUCCGAUGCCCUCUGCUGAUGAAGGUGUUACCAUAGAAAUAGAUAGAAUGGAUGUCUAUUUCAUUCCCCAUUCCAAAUAGGUGCCAGGACACAGAUUCUCCAACACACAUAUCAGGCUCCGGGAAGUUUCCGAAGAGGUAUCCAUUGAGGGCUGGAAACAGAAACACGCUAGUGGAAGAGACUCCCCUGCAGAGGCGACUGGGACCAGAAAUAGAAAACACUCAAUAAAAGUGAAGAUCAGCAUACACUGAGAACAGCCUCGGAGCUGCUGUGGGAACGCAAUAUGAGGUCAGGAGAAAACAGAGUGCUGCUCAUAUUUACAGGAGGCUCAGUCACCUUCUGUCAUAAUCCUUCACUGGCAUAUCUGCUGUCUUCACCAGAUUCUGUGCUCCUUGGAACUAGAAACCCUGUCUUGUUCAUCUUAACAGUUAUCAGGACCUAGCAGAAAAACUGGCACAUAGUAUCUACUUAAUGAAGUGACAAAAGCAUGUAGUAAGAUGGAAAGAAAAGGAAUUGAUUAAAAGGAAUUUAUGAG
rnacentral:lncRNA from 1 species